UUUUAGCCCAGAUGGAAACGGAAAUCCUUUUGCGGGAAAAUUGUAUUUUUUAUUGCCUAAAAAGAGCGACCAAAGGAAGCUCCUUUUUGGGCUUAUAAAAAAACAAUUUUACAAAAAAGAUUGUAGUGUACAGCUGGAUUGGCU
rnacentral:sRNA from 26 species